CCGUAGCUUGAAUACGCAUCAAUUGAUUUUAUUAUACUAGAAACCCUGAGAAAGCAUAAUAUAUUUAUAUACAGGUCAUGUAAAUACACUGUAGGCAAGUUUCACAGUUUAAUGUUGCAAAGUGCUUUCAUUAAUGCUGUGGUUCUGAGAAAAGGUUGUAAAAGAACAUAAAGGAGUCAAGAUCUGAUUUUUACUGAGAUAAGUUGAAAGCAUAAUUCACCUUUACUAAACGUCAGUGUUUCUUCUUUCAUGUCUUUUUACGUGAUGCUCUUUCUACUGCUCCGUGCAUGGCUGAGAACGAUAUACAUUAAGAAUGAAUCCUUCAUUGAUGUGACUUCAUGAUCUUCUGUUUAUUAUUUAUGUUUGCAUAAUUUCAUGUGUUAAUAAAAAACCCCAGUAAUUCACCAGAGAUACAUACAAUUAAAUGGUUGGGUUUGUCCUGGAGCAAUUGCACACUAUGCUUUUACUUGAUGCAUAUUUCCGACAGGAGACAGAAAGUCAGUCCUGCUGAGCAGUCUGAUCUGACAUGGGAAAAGUAUAUUGUUAUUUUUUCUAGAAAGUAUGUUUAUUUUUUUUAGAGAGGAGAUUACAUUUCAAAUGCACUUCCAGAACUUCUAAUGGCUCCCCAUCAUCCUCAAAAUGUUACUGAAGGAUCUUAAAUUGAAUAUAGAGGUCAACCUCUCCACUUGUGGAAUGACUAUUUUUUUGUUUUGUAUUGAUAUUGAGGCUCAUCUGCCUUUACAAAACCCAGCAGUUCUGUGAAUGAAAACCACAAUGUCAGGGUUAAGCGCUGUAUUUCCUGUAGCUGAAAACUGCCAUCUACCAGAAGGACUGGUAGGUAAGAUAUGCUGUUCUGUUCUGAGUAGUUGGAGUCUUAAAAGUAAUGCUGAGGAUUUAGAACUAGACAAAACUUUAGAUGUAAACCAUGUUAUGUAGCAGGUAUCACUGUAAAGAAUGUGCUCGUCAGGCUUGUAUAAAAUUCAGGCUGUUGAUUCAGGAAGGCUUUGAACAUAAAGCUGUAUUUGGA
rnacentral:lncRNA from 1 species